UUCAUCGCGUUCUGUCUCCUCCUCUCCCCUCGCUGGCUAGGGUUAGUCGAUUUUGUUGCGUUCUGUCUCUUCCUCCUCUCUGAUGGUACCUUUUGUUCUAUAGAUCUGCGUGAAGCUUAUCAGUUUGAUGCCUUUUUGUAGGUUUCUUUUGCUCUGGUCUUUGAUGGUGCUCGGAUUCAGUGCCCCCCUUCUUGGAUCCGUGAGGAGAUCUGCUUUUUCAGGUAUGUAUAUGCUCGAAUCUCUCGUCCUUUUGAUUAGUUCUAGUUCGUGGUUUAGGUUUGAUGCUUGGUGCGAUGCGUCUGUGCAAGCAUGCGUUGGCUAGGGUUUGCCAGUCCCCUCCUCGUUCUCAUACUGAAGCGGGAUUGGAGGUGUAGAUUUGUAGCCCUCUAUUCUGUAGUUUUUUUGUUAAUGUUUUGUUGCUAGGGUUUCUUAGGUUUAUAUUUUUCUUGUUCCAAUCUGCGCCAUGUUGAGCCUUUGUGUGAUGUUGGCCCCAUCUUUUAAGCCUUUGUGUGAUGUUAGCCCCAUCUUUGAGCCUUUGUGCUAGGGGUUCUUAGGUUUAUAUUGUUAAUUUUUCUUGUUCCAAUCUGCGCCAUGUUGAGCCUUUGUUAGUCUUAGAUUGUUAGGGUUUCUCAAUUUUCCUUCUUUUAUGUUCCAAUCCACCAUUAGGUCUUAUACUGCAGUUUUGGAUUUGAAUUGCCUAUUAGUUUUAUAUUCUUUUUUAGAUGUGUUCUUUUUGCAUGUUCUAGGUGUUUUUUUCUGUGUUUUAAGGGCUUAUUUUCUGAAAAAGAUCAUUCAUUUUUUGUAUCUAGUGUGUGUAUAAUCAUUGAUAGUUAUAGGUAGUAGGGUAGUUGUUACUUGAGUGAAAGAAGGUUUGAUUUUUUAGCCUAAAUGUUGAUAUCUUGUUUUUUGCCUGAGCAGUUUAAGAAGUUGUUGAAUUCAAUUUUUUAUGAGCAUUUUAGUAAGUAGUGUUAGUAUGAUGUUAUAGUAUUUGUUACUAAUUUGUCAAAAAAAUUAUUCUUUUGUUGCAGGCAUGGUUUGCCCUGUUUGUCGUUGUCCAAUUUUUUGUGUUUUCUAGUUGGGUUGCUUGUUUAUUAAGUUGUUUGUUAUCACUGUUGUGUAGUAUAAGCAUAAUUGGCUUGGUGCCAAAAAUUGUUAUGCCAAUGUUUGACACUGUGCCAAAUAUUGGCUACUACUUUGGUAGGUUACUGGUUUGUCUUGCCUAUCUCACAAAAAGUUGCCAAUAGUUUGGCAAGUAUUGGUAUUGCCAAUUUUUGUCAAUGCCAACUUUUGGCUAGCCAAAUUUUUGGCAGCAAACCAUCAUGCUCUAUAACUGUAAAGAACUUGGUUGAUAUGUUAUUUUUCUGCAGUUUAUGUUUGUGGUUCUAGUUAAUGUUCUUUUUGUUCCUUGGCAAUUGGCAUCGAGCAAGAAAAGCCUAGGGGGAGCUUCGCCGUUGCUUCCUCUGCUCCGCUCACCUGUCGUAUUUGGAGCAAAGCGAUCGAGGCAUCAACUAAAUAGUAUAUAUUUUUAUCAAGAGCAAUCUAUCCUUAAAAAGCAUCGCCUACUGCACCACCAUCAUGCUUUUGGGAACUGGUGCUAACUCAUCCACUGUCAAGUGUCAAGCUUAAAAGUGUAUCCUAAAUAGAGUAUUUGAUUGAUGAACUUGUCGCCCCCACAG
rnacentral:lncRNA from 1 species